rnacentral:rRNA from 1 species
GACGAACGCUGGCGGCGUGCCUAAUACAUGCAAGUCGAGCGGACUUGAUGAGAUGCUUGCAUCUCUGACGGUUAGCGGCGGACGGGUGAGUAACACGUAGGUAACCUGCCCGACAGACCGGGAUAACAUUCGGAAACGAAUGCUAAUACCGGAUACGCGAUUUCCUCGCAUGGGGAAAUCGGGAAAGACGGAGCAAUCUGUCACUGUUGGAUGGACCUGCGGCGCAUUAGCUAGUUGGUGAGGUAACGGCUCACCAAGGCGACGAUGCGUAGCCGACCGGAGAGGGAUAUCGGCCACACUGGGACUGAGAAAAGGACCAGACUCCUACGGAAGGCAGCAGUAGGGAAUCUUCCGCAAUGGAAGAAAGUCUGACGGAGCAACGCCGCGUGAGUGAUGAAGGUUUUCGGAUCGUAAAGCUCUGUUGCCAGGGAAGAACGCUUAGGAGAGUAACUGCUCCUGAGGUGACGGUACCUGAGAAGAAAGCCCCGGCUAACUACGUGCCAGCCGCCGCCGUAACAC